UGUGAUACUGGACCCACCAUACCGGAGAAGCCACAGAUUUGCAUCCUGUGUGAGAGCAUCCUCACACCCCAUCUUUCCAGACAUUUCUGCCAAAGUGUCCAACACAUGAGUGAAGCCAGCGUGGAGCUCCAUACCAGCCCUCCAUCCAGCCCACCGAUUCACCUAAGUUGUUAUUUGGAGUACGUGGGCUGUAUGUUUUCUCUCUAACCUUUCUGUUGUAAAUUUCUCCAAGAAAGGAAACCAAAUAGAAUCUUGGAGAAGAUGUUCCCAGUUGGGAUGUCUUACUAAAGGAAGUUGAUCCAAAAUGCACAGGGGAUGGACUGUGCUGGGUGCUGUGUCUCACCAACCAGAUUUUUACUUCUCUUGGAAAUAUGAGUGUUGAGAAGUCACGUGUGAGCCGUUUUCUGGGAAUUUCCCUGAGAUAAAAAGUACCACCUCCUUCAAGUUUCAGACGCCUGCUCAGUGGUCACAUAUCUAAUGAUGGUGGACGCAGGAGUGUGAAGGUCAGCUCCCAACCAGAAGCCCUCCCAGAUAAUAGCAAGGAAACUCACCAGAUCACUGCCUUUGGACAAUGAGAUGUCAGAACCCUCACCCAUCAUGGCUGCCAAAGUGAUCAUCUGCUUCCUGUUGACCAACUCCUUCUCCUAACCCCUUCCUAAUUUCUG
rnacentral:lncRNA from 1 species